rfam:Asian citrus Psyllid, Diaphorina citri - Florida Strain, whole genome shotgun sequence.
AUAAGCAGCAAUAGCGUAUUGAAUGCACCAGUUCCCAAAAGGAACACUGAAGUUAAUAUCUAUUGAAGAUGAUUGGUAUCUGAAUGGGAGACCCCCUGGGCAAUAGCAUGUUCCUGGCUUACC